AUGCUUGUUUUGGCAGCACAUUUCCUAAAAUUGGAACCACACAGAGAAGAUUAGCAAGGCCCCUGUGCAAGGAUGACAUGGAGACCCUGCAAGUGAUCCAGAAGUCU